CAGACCCUCCAUUUUUGGGAUUCCUGAAAGGUGACCAGGUGAGAGCAAAGCCCAACGUCCUGGGGAAAAGCUCUCAGCGCAGUGAAUUCUGCAUUCAGAGGUAGGAAGACUCCGGAUGUGAACUAUUUCAUGGUUGUUUUUUUUUUUCUAAAAUUACGGAAAACAGAGGAAUCUCCGCAGAAGCGGAAGUAGGAAUGGGGAAGGCGGGGACGAGUUUAGACUAAGCUCUUCUGUGACCUCACUUCUGCUUUUGAAGUCCCACAGCUCUAUAAGAGUUCCUAAAACUGGACAUGGUGGCUCUAGGAGGAUGCGCCUCUUCCAGUCAUCGGGUUUCCCCUGGAAAGACAGAACAAAUUCACAUUCCCACCUGCAGUGG